AAUCCUCAAAGCCCCUUUUUCUUUGACGAGAAAGAGGAGUUUUGGACUUGGAGGUUCAAUGCUCGCUUUCGAUUCCGAAAGGCGAGCUCCUCUCAAAUGAAUCAGUGGGGUCCGCUUUGCUGGUCCUUGACGUGAUAAUGUGUUUCUACGUUUUGGAUCUGGCACUGUCACUUGGAUGCCCGCUUCUAACCGUCUCAUAGAGACAAUGAUGGUGCUCCGGUCACCGCCACCUACACUGGCGGGAGGCUUGACCCACGACAAAAAA
rnacentral:misc_RNA from 2 species